UAAAGGUGAGAAAACAAAAAAAAGCCACAAUCCUUUUCUUUUAAUUGCUUAAAAGUAUGUACAUUAUAAAUAAUUCCACUACAUUACCACCAUUUGUGUUUCCUAGUCUGGAGUCCUACAUGUUUGAGAUGUUACUGUCUGCAGGGCCGGGCAGAGAGCGGAGGACAGAGGGGAGCAGAUCAGGAUGUCCAGUAAAACACAGAGAGGGACACAUCUGUUUUAUUAGCCUGUCUGCACUCGAUACAACAGCUGGGUGUUUGUUUGACUACAAGUAAGUGCACCACGACUUGUUAUUGUUGAGGGGGAUGACCAGGAAGUAGCAGGUGGAUGUUUUUUAGACCUAAAACUGUUGGACUAAGCUUCGUCUGUGUGCUAAGAACCAUUUCAUCAACCGCAGUGCUCGGAAGAGAGAGAGCGUGGGAUUGCUGAAGCCACAUGGUGACAGUAGGAUUCUUCUUCGUCUUCCUAAUGUGAAAGUUCAUCAUCUCUCUUGUGCUCUUCAGUCCGGGCUGUUACAGGAGACUCCUCGGUCUUUUUCUUCCCCUUUCUGUCCCCCAAAAGCUGUGCAGUCUCACAGUUUCAGAGGAGGGCCCUCUAGCCUGGACACCAGGGUUUGUGUUAUGCUCUUCCGUGAGGUACAGUAUUCAGUCUCAGUCCCUGCCUUGUAUGUCAAUGCUAACUGCCCUGUUGGGGUUCCUCCUGCUGCUGCUGCAGCUGCUGAUGAGAAAUGGUCGGGUUGAGGUGAGAAGCGGACGACCACGAGGUCAAAACAGUCCCCGGGGGUAGACUCUGUGUGCCCGCGCUACACAACGACGUCGCCAACACCACUACGCUCUCCUCCUCCGCCACCUCCUCUACAGUUAUCACCGCUCCCCCCACGCUGACCCCAGCGGCCUUUCUGGAGCAGUCCACGCAGAUGUAGUCCUCCGUCUCGGCCAUUUCGCAGGACACGCCCACGCACACCUGAUGGAACCACUCGUCGCAGCCGCCGUCGCACUGCACCCAGUCAACCUGGAAAACACAAGGCGGCAGACAUUGAAGUUCAGCACGACUCCUUCACAUCUUCAUCAUCACUCCUCCUCCCAAAGAUUUGCAGGCCUACCAGUCCCACUUCUCUGAUUGGCUCCCUUGUGACCGCACAGGGGAAGAAGACUAGCCACUGGUUAACCGAGGGGACUGUCUGCCGUGCCGUCACUUGAGAGGACCACAUCAGUGCGGCCUGUUAAUACGUGAUGUGUAACUCUCUUUAAGGUGUUCCAGUCUGUUAUCAGCUGUUGAUAUUCAAUAAAGUUCCAUGAUGUUCAUUUUGAAAA